AUUGACGAGAAUGACUACCAAACGAAAUUCCGUAAUGUCGUGAAGUUUCUGGGUGAAGGCGAUAAAGUGAAAUGUUCUGUUCGUUUCCGUGGACGUGAAAUUACACAUGCAUCUGUCGGCCAGAAGAUUCUGGAUCGGCUUGCAAUCGAAGUUGCUGACUUGUGUGUCAUGGAGCGUGUACCGAAGCUUGAGGGUCGCAGCAUGAUCAUGAUUCUAGCACCGAAAGCGACUUAAUAAUCAAUCAUUGAGGAGGAUCAUCAAAAUGCCUAAAAUGAAAACACAUAGCAGUCUUAAAGACCGCUU
rnacentral:misc_RNA from 1 species